GAUGAACGCUGGCGGCGUGCCUAAUACAUGCAAGUCGAGCGAACAGACGAGGAGCUUGCUCCUCUGACGUUGGCGGCGGACGGGUGAGUAACACGUGGAUAACCUACCUAUAAGACUGGGAUAACUUCGGGAAACCGGAGCUAAUACCGGAUAAUAUAUUGAACCGCAUGGUUCAAUAGUGAAAGACGGUUUUGCUGUCACUUAUCGAUGGAUCCGCGCCGCAUUAGCUAGUUGGUAAGGUAACGGCUUACCAAGGCAACGAUGCGUAGCCGACCUGAGAGGGUGAGCGGCCACACUGGAACUGAGACACGGUACAGACUCCUACGGGAGGCAGCAGUAGGGAAUCUUCCGCAAUGGGCGAAAGCCUGACGGAGCAACGCCGCGUGAGUGAUGAAGGUCUUCGGAUCGUAAAACUCUGUUAUUAGGGAAGAACAAAUGUGUAAGUAACUAUGCACGUCUUGACGGUACCUAAUCAGAAAGCCACGGCUAACUACGUG
rnacentral:rRNA from 1 species